CCCAGUUCCACUGCUCCAAGCUCAAGACUCUGAGCCAAACCUUUCCUGAAGAACAUACUCUGAACGUCUCCUUAUUCAGCUCACUGAACACCCACAGCCUGCUUCUUCAUAUAUGACACGCAAAUCUCCUCAAAAUCCACAAAAUGUAGACAAGUUAACUUCCGCGUGUCAUCUUCAAAAACCAGUGAUUUGUACCUCUGCAUUUGGAAGGAAGCUACCCUUCAGGUGCAGGCAUGCAGGAGACUGCCCUUCUUCCUCUUCAUCGCUUAAUAUACUCUGACAAUGACAUUCCAUCACUUCAAGAGCACCUGCUGCUGUAUCAAUUGGCACCUACAGUGUACCAGAAGCUUUAGAAAAUGCAGCAGAUGGGAAGGUACACAAGAAGAGCUCCUGUCUUCUGCUGAUGCUUCCCUGCUAUAAAGGGAAAAUGAGGACAGGUAGCUAGGCAUUUGUGGUGCAGAUUCAUAGUGAUAGUAAUAGUAAGAGGACAGCUCAGGGGUGCAGAGGUAGGCUCCUACCAAAGCCCAGAGAGCAAGAGGCAGUCAAGGCUUCUGUGAGGAGAGUUUACUUUGUUGGGACAUAGAAACAACAGUUAGCAAAGGAAAGAGAAGAAGAGGCAUUCUAUGCAGAGGGGAGAGCUUCAGCAAACGCAGGAGAAGCCUGAUAGUAAUAAAAGCUACAAACAUUGCCA
rnacentral:lncRNA from 12 species